rnacentral:rRNA from 1 species
CAGCAGCAGCCGCGGUAAAACGUAGGGUGCAAGCGUUAAUCGGAAUUACUGGGCGUAAAGCGUGCGCAGGCGGUUAUAUAAGUCAGAUGUGAAAUCCCCGGGCUCAACCUGGGAACUGCAUUUGAGACUGUAUGGCUAGAGUGUGUCAGAGGGGGGUAGAAUUCCACGUGUAGCAGUGAAAUGCGUAGAUAUGUGGAGGAAUACCGAUGGCGAAGGCAGCCCCCUGGGAUAACACUGACGCUCAUGCACGAAAGCGUGGGGAGCAAACAGGAUUAGAUACCCCAGUAGUCCCUGUCUCUUAUAC